rnacentral:rRNA from 1 species
GACGUAGGGUGCGAGCGUUGUCCGGAUUUAUUGGGCGUAAAGAGCUCGUAGGCGGCUCGUCGCGUCGACCGUGAAAACCCGCGGCUUAACUGCGGGCUUGCGGUUGAUACGGGCGGGCUAGAGUUCGGUAGGGGAGACUGGAAUUCCUGGUGUAGCGGUGAAAUGCGCAGAUAUCGAGAGGAACACCUGCGGCGAAGGCGGGUUGCUGGGCUGACACUGACGCUGAGGCGCGAAAGCCAGGGGAGCGAACGGG